GGUGAACGCUGGCGGCGUGCUUGACACAUGCAAGUCGAACGGUAUGUGGCAACACAUAGAGUGGCGAACGGGUGAGUAACACGUGGGAACGUACCUUCUGCAGGGGGAUAACUGACCGAAAGGACAGCUAAUACCGCAUAAGACCGAGAGGAGAAAGGUGCAACAGCAUCGGCAGAGGAGCGGCCCGCGGACCAUCAGCUAGUUGGUGGGGUAAGAGCCUACCAAGGCAACGACGGAUAGCCGGCGUGAGAGCGUGGCCGGCCACAAGGACACUGAGAUACGGGUCCUACUCCUACGGGAGGCAGCAGUGCGGAAUUUUAGAUAAUGGAGGCAACUCUGAUCUAGCGACGCCGCGUGCAGGAAGAAGGUCUUCGGAUUGUAAACUGCUGUGGUAAGGGAAAAAUGCCAUGUAGAGUGGAAAGCUACAUGGAGGGAUGGUACUUUACUAGAAAGCCCCGGCUAACUACGUGCCAGCAGCCGCGGUAAUACGUAGGGGGCGAGCGUUACCCGGAAUCACUGGGCGUAAAGGGAGCGUAGGUGGCCUGACAUGUCGACUGUGAAAACCCGGAGCUCAACUCCGGACUUGCAGUUGAAACUGCCAGGCUUGAGGACGGUAGAGGAAGACGGAACUGCCAGUGUAGGGGUAAAAUCCUUAGAUAUUGGCAGGAACGCCGGUGACGAAUGUGGUUUUCUGGGCCGGUUCUGACACUGAUGCUCGAAAGCCAGGGGAGCGAACG
rnacentral:rRNA from 1 species